GGCAGUUCUCAGGUGAUGCACCCCAGGAUCGGGCUCCCUCCUCUCUGGUUCUAGGUGUGUUACCCGAGAACCACA
rfam:Myotis davidii contig94163, whole genome shotgun sequence.